rnacentral:rRNA from 1 species
UACGUAGGGUGCAAGCGUUGUCCGGAAUUAUUGGGCGUAAAGAGCUCGUAGGCGGUCUGUCGCGUCUGCUGUGAAAACUCGGGGCUUAACCCCGGGCCUGCAGUGGGUACGGGCAGACUAGAGUGCGGUAGGGGAGAUUGGAAUUCCUGGUGUAGCGGUGAAAUGCGCAGAUAUCAGGAGGAACACCGGUGGCGAAGGCGGGUCUCUGGGCCGUAACUGACGCUGAGGAGCGAAAGCAUGGGGAGCGAACAGG